rnacentral:rRNA from 1 species
GACGAACGCUGGCGGCGUGCUUAACACAUGCAAGUCGAACGGAAAGGCCCUGCUUUUGUGGGGUGCUCGAGUGGCGAACGGGUGAGUAACACGUGAGUAACCUGCCCUUGACUUUGGGAUAACUUCAGGAAACUGGGGCUAAUACCGCAUAGGAGCUCCUGCUGCAUGGGGGGGGUUGGAAAGUUUCGGCGGUUGGGGAUGGACUAGCGGCUUAUCAGCUUGUUGGUGGGGUAGUGGCUUACCAAGGCUUUGACGGGUAGCCGGCAUGAGAGGGGGAACGGCCACAUGGGUCCUGCGAUACGCCCCAGACUCCUACGGGAGGCAGCAGUGGGGAAUAUUGCACAAUGGGGCGAAGCCUGAGGCAGCAGCGCCGCGUGCGUGAUGACGGCCUUCGGGUUGUGAACCGCUUUCGCCUGUGACGAAGCGUGAGUGACGGUAAUGGGUAAAGAAGCACCGGCUAACUACGUG